GACGAACGCUGGCGGCGUGCCUAAUACAUGCAAGUAGAACGCUGAAGCGAGGAGCUUGCUCUUCUUGGAUGAGUUGCGAACGGGUGAGUAACGCGUAGGUAACCUGCCUGGUAGCGGGGGAUAACUAUUGGAAACGAUAGCUAAUACCGCAUAAAAUGGAUUAUCGCAUGAUAAUCCAUUGAAAGGUGCAAAUGCAUCACUACCAGAUGGACCUGCGUUGUAUUAGCUAGUUGGUGGGGUAACGGCUCACCAAGGCGACGAUACAUAGCCGACCUGAGAGGGUGAUCGGCCACACUGGGACUGAGACACGGCCCAGACUCCUACGGGAGGCAGCAGUAGGGAAUCUUCGGCAAUGGACGGAAGUCUGACCGAGCAACGCCGCGUGAGUGAAGAAGGUUUUCGGAUCGUAAAGCUCUGUUGUAAGAGAAGAACGAGUGUGAGAGUGGAAAGUUCACACUGUGACGGUAUCUGACCAGAAAGGGACGGCUAACUACGUG
rnacentral:rRNA from 1 species